GUUUGAUCCUGGCUGAGGAUGAACGCUGGCGGCGUGCUUAACACAUGCAAGUCGAACGAUGAUCUCCAGCUUGCUGGGGGGAUUAGUGGCGAACGGGUGAGUAACACGUGAGUAACCUGCCCUUGACUCUGGGAUAAGCCUGGGAAACUGGGUCUAAUACCGGAUAUGACCAUCUGGCGCAUGUCAUGGUGGUGGAAAGCUUUUUUGUGGUUUUGGAUGGACUCGCGGCCUAUCAGCUUGUUGGUGGGGUAAUGGCCUACCAAGGCGACGACGGGUAGCCGGCCUGAGAGGGUGACCGGCCACACUGGGACUGAGACACGGCCCAGACUCCUACGGGAGGCAGCAGUGGGGAAUAUUGCACAAUGGGCGCAAGCCUGAUGCAGCGACGCCGCGUGAGGGAUGACGGCCUUCGGGUUGUAAACCUCUUUCAGUAGGGAAGAAGCGUAAGUGACGGUACCUGCAGAAGAAGCGCCGGCUAACUACGUGCCAGCAGCCGCGGUAAUACGUAGGGCGCAAGCGUUAUCCGGAAUUAUUGGGCGUAAAGAGCUCGUAGGCGGUUUGUCGCGUCUGCUGUGAAAGACCGGGGCUCAACUCCGGUUCUGCAGUGGGUACGGGCAGACUAGAGUGCAGUA
rnacentral:rRNA from 4 species